rnacentral:tRNA from 1 species
AGGAGCCAGAGGGCCUCGAUCCCACAUUACACUAGUUAACAGCUAGUACGCCUACCUGUAGCAUUGACUCC